rnacentral:rRNA from 1 species
UACGUAGGGUGCGAGCGUUAAUCGGAAUUACUGGGCGUAAAGCGUGCGCAGGCGGUUUUGUAAGCCAGAUGUGAAAUCCCCGGGCUUAACCUGGGAACUGCAUUUGGGACUGCAAGGCUUGAGUACGGCAGAGGGGGGUAGAAUUCCUGGUGUAGCAGUGAAAUGCGUAGAUAUCAGGAGGAAUACCGAUGGCGAAGGCAGGUCUCUGGGCUGACACUGACGCUCAUGCACGAAAGCGUGGGGAGCAAACAGG